rnacentral:tRNA from 1 species
GAAUUCGUGGUGUAAUGGUAGAACAAUCGACGCGAAAUCGAGAGGUCCAGGUUCGAGUCCCGGCGAGGGCA